GAGGGACAGUUAGAGUCCAUUAUAUCUUUGAUGUUUAAUUUUCUUUUACUUCUCCACCCAUCUCGUUGCUGCUAAAAGGACCAUUUCUUAUAUAGCGCCGGCGCAAAAAGAAGAAAGAAAAAUUCUUACCUGCUUGUCUCGUUUGUCUAAGUUUGACGUCUUUUCCACGUAAUUGAACUUGAUGAAUGUUGGCGUUUGUUUAUCUCUCUAACGCGCACUGUCCUUUCAACACCCCUCCGGAUGACAUAUCUGGGCCGGUUCGGUUAUUUUCAGAACAAUACAGCACCUGUCUAUCUCCAGGGUUUUUGUGAUUAGAGCUUGGAUUGUCAAUUACAACAAGUCAAACCGCAACUCUCGGUUUUCUUUGUCCGGAAAAAGAGUGCUAGUUUUACCAGCUAGCCAGGCUAUGCUAGUCGAUGGAAAAUAGUAAGCACAUUUAUAUGGUUUUGGAAUGACCUGUUCAGGAGAAAAAAAUGCAGUUUCAGUUCCUUUGGAUGACAAUUGAAGGAAACUGAGCAUGUUUGACCACGAUAAAAAGGCAUGUUUUAAAAAUGUUAAAAUACAAGCUGUCGUCAAACCAUCCAUGCAUCCCACGUUUCUUCCAACUGUUAGGCCUAAGUGAGAUCGCUUAGGUUAUGUACAUCGCUACUGAGACAUCGUGUUCUUGGACAACUGGUAUGAUCUACCCAGGCAGAUGCGAGGAUGCGCACCACCAGGUCCAUUCCAUGCACACAUGCAUCAUCUUGGCAUUCUGGCUGGCAGGAAUUGAUCCUGAACGACAACCAACAAGGGGCGACAUAAGAGACGGCACACAGGGAGAGCUGAGGAAAAACGCAGUCCGGAUGUUAUUUUAAAAACACAGGUUUGCUGUGGACUGUGGACUUGUUCACAGUUCAGGGCUAUGGGACCUGAUGAGAGGUGCUGCUGCGAUUUCAGCGUGGAGCAAAGGGCCAACUUUCGAGGGUGACUGACCCCUUCGAAAAACACAGAGGAAUGCUGGGGCCUCCUGCUCUGCAAGACCGAACAAGAAAACCAAAGUCUUCAAUUCUCAGACACCAGAAAUUAGUGAAUGGUGAUUUGAUGAAAUCAUAUAUGUAUAUGUAUAUAUAUAUACGUAUAUAUAGGAACAAUGAGGAGAUAGAUGUCCUGGAGCUCACCCCAUGCGCCCAGAAUAGCACCCAUCUGCUGCUUCUCUUCGUCUGUUGGAGAGGAUGCCGGGUUUUCUGGCCCCGGGAAUAAUAAGCU
ensembl:lncRNA